UAAACGGCUCUUUUCAGAGCCACCACAUUUCCAAGAAAGAAACCAAU
rfam:Strongylocentrotus purpuratus Contig39397_fixed, whole genome shotgun sequence.